UAUUUUGAGGCAAUGCAGUAGCCUGGAU
rnacentral:piRNA from 1 species